UAUAAUCUGACAUCAAUCUAGGCUGAGGUAGCUGUUUAGAACAAGUAAGAAAGUUUUUGACAAUUUCUGAGAAAAAUCUGUAAUAAACUCCCAAUUAUUAACACAAAAAAGUGC